ensembl:lncRNA
GGUUUGGAUUAGCCCAGAACCCCGCCCCUUGGCUGUGACUUCUCUGGCUUCAUUACUCGCUGGAGGCCGUGGGGCCACGCACACAGCACAUGCGUCUGCCCUAGGCCUGGAAGCCCCGCCCAUCUUUUCUGGUCAUGUAACUUCACCACCGCUGCUCUGGCCCUCUGGGACCUGGGGGCUUGCCUGCCCAGGUCCACAGAGAUAGCUCUCUUGGCCUUCACCAGCUUACGUAUUCAUAGGUUGGCACUUGGCGUGACUAUCACAUCCUCCCUCUCCAGGUGAUCCUGGAAGCUCUUAGAAUUGGGCAGAUCAGAGAGCAUUCCCGGCCACUUGUAAGUGGGGGCUUCCCUGGUGGCUCAGAUGGUAAAGAAUCUGCCUGCAACAUGGGAGACUUGGAUUCACUCUCUGGGUUGGGAAGACCCCCUGAAGAAGGCAUUGGCAACCCACUCCAGUAUUCUUGCCUGGAGAAUUCCAUGGACAGAGGAGCCUGGCAGGCUACAGUCCAUAGAGUUGCGUAGAAUCAGAUAUGACUGAGCGACUAACACAUUCACUUUUUUCACUUCGUUAAUGUUUUACUGACAAUGUUGGUUUGGGUUCUACCAGGGAAGGGCUUCCCUGGUAGCCCAGCCUGUAAAGAAUCUGUCUGCAGUGCAGGAGACCUGGAUUUGACCCCUGGGUCAGGAAGAUCCCCUGGAGAAGGAAACGGCAAACCACUCCAACUUCCCUGGUGGCUCAGAUGGGAGGCUUGGAGGUGAAGAGAUAUGCAGCCGUGUCAUAAGUGGUGGAACUAGAUGACCCCAAAGCCCUACUCUGAUUGCUAGAUUCCCUUGGCCUCAGCACCAAAGCAGAGGAGGCCCAGAAGGAUAAGCCAGAAUGUUGGAGAGCUGGGUCCCCACCCCAACAACAGGACCCACAGGCCAGGCCUCACUGGGCUCUUGACGCAGAGCAGUGCCUCCAUCCAUCAGCAUCCUCUAAAGCCAAGGAGACCCUGCUUCCAGGAGGCAGUGAGGAGGCUGGGAGAGAGGAGGUGGCCUGCAGCAGCAGCUACGUGGCUCCCUCCUGCAGAGGGCCUCCCGAGCCCCAGCCUAACAUGAGCCUUUGCAGGUACUGAAUUAUGAACGGAAGUUGCCCAGAAGUAAUUGAGAACAUUAUUGCCCCCCAC